UACGUAGGGGGCAAGCGUUGUCCGGAUUCAUUGGGCGUAAAGAGCGUGUAGGCGGCCAGGUAGGUCGGUUGUGAAAACUGGAGGCUCAACCUUCAGAGGUCGACCGAAACCAUCUGGCUAGAGUCCGGGAGAGGAGAGUGGAAUUCCUGGUGUAGCGGUGAAAUGCGUAGAUAUCGGGAGGAACACCAGUGGCGAAGGCGGGCACCUGGGCUAACACUGACGCUGAUGCGCGAAAGCUAGGGGAGCAAACAGG
rnacentral:rRNA from 1 species